rnacentral:piRNA from 1 species
UNGGCUUACGUUUAAAUUAGGGCACAGACUUU